AUAUAUAUAUAUAUAUAUAGAGUGUAAAGCUACUAUGGUAUUGGAAGUAUAAAUGAUUUGGUACUUCCGAUUAUUUGACUCUUGGAUUAAGAAUUAUACGAGUGGGAUGAUUGCGGUCCUCCCUAGUAUUGAAUAGUAUUCGUAGGAUUACGUGGUCCCUAUAAGGUAAUAGUAUUAAUCUAAAAAUUAGAAAUGAUUAAAGAGACAGCUCUAAAUGCAAGGAGUCAGAAGCACCAAAUUAUAUAUAUAUAAAGUUGAGCCUCUAUACUUUUAAAAAUUCUUGAGUUAUUGGUACUUCUAGAUUUUGAAUUUUUUGAUUAAGAGAUGUGUGAUUAGGAUGAUAGUGAUUUUUCAGGGUUGAGUUGGUGGCUGAUUGAAUAGGAUGAUCUAAUGGGUGAAAAUAGUCAAAAAAAAUUAGAUCUAACGAAAGAAAAUUUAUAAACAUAAGUUGUUUGUGCUUUUAAAAAUAUCAUAUCCGAACUCUCUCUCUCUCUCUCUCUCUCUAUAUAUAUAAACUAAGCUCUUAUAUUUUUGAAAAUAACAAGGCAUUGUUGUUGGUAGGUUUUCCAAAUUUCAAUCAAAAUUUGUAAUGUUAAAAUAAUAAUAGCUUUCUAAGAUUAAGGCUUCAUUUGGAAUUACGAGGAUAUUCCGUUACGUGCGGUGAGAAAAAAGUACGUUGGAAAAAUAUCCUGUUUGUUUUCGUACGUAAUAUUGCGUUAUGCAUAUCGCGAUGAGUCGGUUACGAUAUAUUUUCUGUGGUCCCACCGGAGAACGCAAAAAUAUAUUCCUAUAUAUUUUUUUCCCAGCUCUAUUUUAUCUAAUAGCGUUAAAUAGACCUCAAUACCAAACUAAGCCUAAGUUAGUGGUCCAUAGAAUAAUAUAAUCUAAAAAGUAAAUUGGUCCAAUGGAUAGAAUAAUUAUGAAAGAUUGAAGUAAAAUAAAAAGUUAAAUUACAAAAAAAUUCUGUCAAAAUUCGAUUUUUCAUUUUUUUUUUCUGUCAUUUAAAAAUCUACACUUUAUCCUCUUGUAAAAUAAAAAAUAUUCACGAGAAAUACGGUGUGAACUGUGAUGACAAAAUGAUUAUUUUGCCCCUCACUAUUUUGCCCUCACCAUGUUCACAGGAGAGAAGGCUGAGGAUAUUUUUAUAUAAAAAUAUAUAUAAUAUUAUUUAUAAACGGAACCCUAAUGAAUUACUAACGGCAAAGGUUAAAGUGAAUAUUUUUUAUUUUAUAAGGGGACAGAGUAUAUAUAUAUUUUUAAAUGAUAUAGAAAAAAAAUAAAAAAUUAAAUUUUGACAGUAAUUUGGCCAAAAUAAAAUAUUAUUUAUUAUAAUUAUUGUGAUUGUGAUGGGAAGAAACUUCAAAAACAAGAGGCUGGACUCGGGAGUGUGUGCCGAUCGACUGCCAGCCACCAUGUGGGGUUGGUGGAUAAUUUGAGCACGUUGGAGUUGAAUAGGUUUUAAUUUGAGAGCGUUGAGAUUCCCUUCUUUUUCUUAUUAAUUGUGUUCUUUUGUUAUCAUAUAUUAAUUUAUGAGAAUUCAAUUCAUUUUGAAAAGGAUUUGGAAAAAGUUUUCUUAAGAGAAAUAUCAAGUCCAUAUGUAUAUAAUACGGCUAAACCUGGUAACUUGAAUAUAAUAUUUAGGUAAUAAUUAGAUUCAAGAAGUUAAAAACGUUAAGCGCAAGUAAAGCGAUAUAAUUAGUAUUAAAGCUAAUUAACAACGAAAAGUGUACUUAAAGGAGGGAGAAUGUGACACACUAGAAUUUGGAUUAGUUCUAUAUAAAAAAUAUAAUAUUACUAAAUCUCUGAGUCCGUCUAUAGUAUUUUGGAUGGUGCCUAGAGCCAAUCACCAGCCGAAAAUAUGAGAUAUGAGAUAAGUCGUUAGGACGGAGAAAAUAUAACACUCUAGGAUUUAAAAUAGUCAUAUAUAUAAAAGAUAUAAUACCGCUAAAUAUUUUAAUCCAGUUAUAGUAUUUGAAAUAGUUCUAUACGAUAAUAUGGCUAAAUCUCUUAAUUCGGCUAUAAUAUUUUGAAUAAUCUUAUAUAUUAGAUGUAAUAGGACUAAACCUGUUUAUCCGACUAUAGUAUUUUAAAUUUUUGGACAGUAGUUAGGUUCAAGAGAUUAAUAGAAUUGAGGAUGGCUAGAAUUUAAAAUAAUUUUUAGAGGAUGGUGUUGUAGAAUUACGGCGCAUGCUUGCAUUGUAAAUUAACCUAACAUUGUUUAUUUAUAGAUAAAUAAGAUGAACAUUUGUUUGACGGUCAUGCGCUUAAAACAAGAAAGAAAAAAAUUAAUAUGCUAAAUUACAGAAAAUUUCCAUAUCAAUAUUCUUUUUUAUUUUUUUUUUUCCUUGUCAUUCAAAAAUUUGCACUUUGCUCUCUUAAAAAAUAAAAAAUAUUCAUUUUGACUCCCGUAUUUAGAGGCCGUUUGGUUGGAUGUAGUUGCAGAAACAGUGUAGUUGGAAAUACAUGUAGUUGCAAAUGCUGCAGUUAUAACUACACCUAGUCUGUUUGGUUUUACGCAGUUGCAACUGCUGCAAUUAUAUUUCUUCUGUUUGGUAAUAUGAAGCUGAUAGUUGUAUAUAUGAAUUUUGUCACCUCUUCAGAUAGAGUAGUGAGGUCACCUUCACUAAACAUAAAAUAAUUGUAUAAAUUUAUUAAUUAUUUAAAUUUACUAUUUAUAAAUAAAUAAGUAGAUAUAUAUAAUAUUUUUAUAUUUUUCAAUAAUUCUUCAACUUAUUAAUCGACACAUUUAAAAUUUUUAAUUUAUUUAAUUUUAAUAUGUAAAUCAAACUUUAAAAAUUUAAACGAUUCUCUCAUUUUUUUUUAUCAAUUUUAAUAAUUAUAAUUAAUUAAAACUUAUUAAAUUAACAUACACGAUCACAUUCUAUAAAACAUUUAGAAAAAAAAAACUAUAUUUAUAUUUUAAAUA
rnacentral:lncRNA from 1 species